rnacentral:tRNA from 1 species
GCCCCCGUAGCUCAGGAGGAUAGAGCGAGGGAUUCCUAAUCCCUAGGCCACUGGUUCGACUCCAGUCGGGGGCA